CAGCCCUACUUGUUAAGAAAUAUCCAUUCGAUUAUUCUACCAAUUAUGGAUGUGAAAACAAACUCGACCAAUGCCUGUGACAGCACGGGAAUAAGAUUUCGCGAACAAUAUUUUUGUAUGGAUAGUAAUGGCUUUUUUAAAAACGCUGAGCUCUAACGCUAAUUCAAAGAAAAAUGUGGGAAGAAACAACAAAAACGAGACUCUAAUUCUAAAUAUGAAUUGGCUUUUAAACUGUCAAAGAGAGAGAGAAAAGGGAAAAGGGAAAAAACCGUCCAAUUGUCAGUCUGUCAGUCUAUCACAGUGUGUGGGAUAUAAAUUGGCGGGUCAAAAUUCCAUUUUAUUGGCCUACCGUCAUGUGUGCUGACUGUGUUUAAUUCACAAGAGAGAUCCAACAAAAAGAAUAUACAAAAACAUACUAGUAUUUGCGGGGCGCUCCAAGCGAUAGUUAGUCAAAAGUGAUCAAAUUAAUCGAAAUGGCAAAAACUAUUCCAACUAUCGGGGAGGCUAAACAGAGUAGUGGCAAUGUGUUAAAAAGUGUAUUGGCGAUAUAAAUAAAUUACUAUAGGUAGCUGGCUGCCACCUGGUCAAUAAAUAAGAAUAAAUUAACUUGCAAGGGGGGUGGGGGAUUUUAAAAAUUUUAUCGAGGGCUGGGCAAAUUGUUUUGGCUAUCGAUAGUUCCAUGGGGAGAAGGGUCAAGAAGGUGGGGACUUUAAAAUAUUUACAAUUGGACCAUGGAAACAUUUAAACAGCACAACAAACUAAAAACAAAUUAAAAUACAAUAUGAUACAAAUAAACUACAAGGACAAAAAGAGGAUAGCAAGGAGAAGGAAAAAAGUCUGUCCCGUACAAUAUGUAGGCAUGGCAAGCAUCCAGUAAUGGCUUGUGGAAAACAAUUUAAAAAGAAACACAGAUACAUGCAAAAA